AGAACGAACGCUGGCGGCAGGCUUAACACAUGCAAGUCGAACGCUCGUAACAAUACGGGAGUGGCAGACGGGUGAGUAACGCGUGGGAACAUACCCUCCGGUUCGGAAUAGCUCAGGGAAACUUGGAUUAAUACCGGAUACGGCUGAGAGGCGAAAGAUUUAUCGCCGGAGGACUGGCCCGCGUUCGAUUAGCUUGUUGGUGAGGUAACGGCUCACCAAGGCGAUGAUCGAUAGCUGGUCUGAGAGGAUGAUCAGCCACAUUGGGACUGAGACACGGCCCAAACUCCUACGGGAGGCAGCAGUGGGAAUAUUGGACAAUGGGCGCAAGCCUGAUCCAGCCAUGCCGCGUGAGUGAUGACGGCCUUAGGGUUGUAAAGCUCUUUCGCUCGGGACGAUAAUGACGGUACCGAGAUAAGAAGCCCCGGCUAACUUCGUGCCAGCAGCCGC
rnacentral:rRNA from 1 species